GCUGAAAAUCCCGACUUCGGAAGGGAGGUAUUUAUUAGAUUAAAAACCAAUGCCCUCUGGGCUCCUUGGUGAUUCAUAAUAACUUUUCGAAUCGCACGGCCUUGCGCCGGCGAUGGUUCAUUCAAAUUUCUUCCCUAUCAACUUUCGAUGUUUGGGUAUUGGCCAAACAUGGUCGCAACGGGUAACGGAGGGUUAGGGCUCGACCCCGGAGAAGGAGCCUGAGAAACGGCUACUACAUCCAAGGAAGGCAGCAGGCGCGCAAAUUACCCAAUCCCGAUUCGGGGAGGUAGUGACAAUAAAUACUGAUACAGGGCUCUUUUGGGUCUUGUAAUUGGAAUGAGUACAAUUUAAAUCUCUUAACGAGGAACAAUUGGAGGGCAAGUCUGGUGCCAGCAGCCGCGGUAAUUCCAGCUCCAAUAGCGUAUAUUAAAGUUGUUGUGGUUAAAAAGCUCGUAGUUGAACCUUGGGCCUGGCUGGCCGGUCCGCCUCACCGCGUGUACUGGUCCGGCCGGGCCUUUCCCUCUGUGGAACCUCAUGCCCUUCACUGGGUGUGGCGGGGAAACAGGACUUUUACUUUGAAAAAAUUAGAGUGCUCCAGGCAGGCCUAUGCUCGAAUACAUUAGCAUGGAAUAAUAAAAUAGGACGCGUGGUUCUAUUUUGUUGGUUUCUAGGACCGCCGUAAUGAUUAAUAGGGACAGUCGGGGGCAUCAGUAUUCAAUUGUCAGAGGUGAAAUUCUUAGAUUUAUUGAAGACUAACUACUGCGAAAGCAUUUGCCAAGGAUGUUUUCAUUAAUCAGGAACGAAAGUUAGGGGAUCGAAGACGAUCAGAUACCGUCGUAGUCUUAACCAUAAACUAUGCCGACUAGGGAUCGGACGAUGUUAUUUUUUGACGCGUUCGGCACCUUACGAGAAAUCAAAGUGCUUGGGCUCCAGGGGGAGUAUGGUCGCAAGGCUGAAACUUAAAGAAAUUGACGGAAGGGCACCACCAGGGGUAAACGCUUAUGCAGCCGCAGCAGCUCUGCUCCAAAAAGCAGCCCGAAAGGGUCAGUGGUGUUCCUGUCCGCGCUACGGCGCGGCGAACUAAGUGCUAGUCUCUCCGGAGGCGACACCCUCAAAUUGCGGGAAACUUCUAAAACCAGUGCCACCAAGCCGGCGUCGAAAAGGCGUCGGUGGCCGGGGCAAUGACCUAGGGUAUGGUAAAAGCGCACUGGAUAUAUGGACAAUCCGCAGCCAAGCCUCGUCACGGGGAAGGUUCAGAGACUAAAUGGGGGUGGGUAGUGUGCUGGAGGAUUCGUCCCCCGAGCGCUCGCUCACACACUGCUUAAGAUAUAGUCCGCCCGCGCUGGAAACGGCGCGGAUUAGCAAGCUCAAAUAAACGGGAGCCUGCGGCUUAAUUUGACUCAACACGGGGAAACUCACCAGGUCCAGACACAAUGAGGAUUGACAGAUUGAGAGCUCUUUCUUGAUUUUGUGGGUGGUGGUGCAUGGCCGUUCUUAGUUGGUGGAGUGAUUUGUCUGCUUAAUUGCGAUAACGAACGAGACCUUAACCUGCUAAAUAGCCUGUAU
rnacentral:rRNA from 1 species